rnacentral:rRNA from 1 species
CGGACGGGUGAGUAACGCGUGGAAAACCUGCCGUAUACUGGGGGAUAACACUUAGAAAUAGGUGCUAAUACCGCAUAAGCGCACAGCUUCGCAUGAAGCGGUGAGAAAAACUCUGGUGGUAUACGAUGGUUCCGCGUCUGAUUAGCUAGUUGGUGGGGUAAUGGCCUACCAAGGCAACGAUCAGUAGCCGGCCUGAGAGGGUGAACGGCCACAUUGGGACUGAGACACGGCCCAAACUCCUACGGAAGGCAGCAG